rnacentral:rRNA from 1 species
CACGUAGGGUGCGAGCGUUGUCCGGAAUUAUUGGGCGUAAAGAGCUCGUAGGCGGUGUGUCGCGUCGGCCGUGAAAACCUGCAGCUUAACUGUGGGCUUGCGGUCGAUACGGGCAUCACUGGAGUUCGGCAGGGGAGACUGGAAUUCCUGGUGUAGCGGUGAAAUGCGCAGAGAUCGUAAGGAAGACCAGUGGCGAAGGCGAGUUUCUGGACAGUUACUGACGCUGAGGCACGAAGGCCAGGGGAGCAAACGGGG